UAGAAGUGUUCUGGACAUUGGUGCAUGA
rnacentral:piRNA from 1 species